rnacentral:SRP_RNA from 2 species
ACCGAGCUUGGUUGCGCGGGCUUGUAACCCAAGUGGAGGCAUUAAAGUGGUGUGGAUGUUUGGGUGCGGAGGGCUUGGGUCCAUUGUAUGCCCUUGCUGGCCCUGCCCGUUCCAAGUUGGUAGUGGCUGUUUGUCCAAGCGAAAGCUCAGGCUUCACUGGACCUGGAGUGGUAGGAACGGCGUGAGGCAGGGUUCACAGAGCAGCGAUCACUACCCGCUUCCAAUGGUGGAAGGAUAACAGGCCGCUACAUCACAAGCCCGACCUGGACCUCGAGGAGCCGACAGCGAGGAUCA